GGCCUCCAGGUGCUUAGCACAGGCUGUAUUCUUACAUUGUAUAUAGAAAGAGGAGGCAGAGUAAACCUACCCCGUAUGCACCUCAGCAGGCCCAGUGCCUGGUCUGUAUUGUGAGUGAGGAGAAAUGC